rnacentral:rRNA from 1 species
AUAACGGUCCUAAGGUAGCGAAAUUCCUUGUCGGGUAAGUUCCGACCUGCACGAAUGGCGUAAUGAUGGCCAGGCUGUCUCCACCCGGGACUCAGUGAAAUUGAACUCGCUGUGAAGAUGCAGUGUACCCGCGGCAAGACGGAAAGACCCCGUGAACCUUUACUAUAGCUUGACACUGAACACUGGUCCUUGAUGUGCAGGAUAGGUGGGAGGCUUUGAAGUGUGGACGCCAGUCUGCAUGGAGCCAUCCUUGAAAUACCACCCUUUAAUGGCUGGUGUUCUAACGUGGGCCCGUGAACCGGGUUGCGGACAGUGUCUGGUGGGUAGUUUGACUGGGGCGGUCUCCUCCUAAAGAGUAACGGAGGAGCACGAAGGUUGGCUAAUCCUGGUCGGACAUCAGGAGGUUAGUGCAAUGGCAUAAGCCAGCUUGACUGCGAGCGUGACGGCGCGAGCAGGUGCGAAAGCAGGUCAUAGUGAUCCGGUGGUUCUGAAUGGAAGGGCCAUCGCUCAACGGAUAAAAGGUACUCCGGGGAUAACAGGCUGAUACCGCCCAAGAGUUCAUAUCGACGGCGGUGUUUGGCACCUCGAUGUCGGCUCAUCACAUCCUGGGGCUGAAGUAGGUCCCAAGGGUAUGGCUGUUCGCCAUUUAAAGUGGUACGCGAGCUGGGUUUAGAACGUCGUGAGACAGUUCGGUCCCUAUCUGCCGUGGGCGCUGGAAGAUUGAGGGGGGCUGCUCCUAGUACGAGAGGACCGGAGUGGACGCAUCACUGGUGUUCGGGUUGUCAUGCCAAUGGCACUGCCCGGUAGCUACAUGCGGAAGAGAUAAGUGCUGAAAGCAUCUAAGCACGAAACUUGCCCCGAGAUGAAUCUUCCCUGAGCCUUUAAGGCUCCUGAAGGAACGUUGAAGACGACGACGUUGAUAGGCCGGGUGUGUAAGCGCAGCGAUGCGUUGAGCUAACCGGUACUAAUGAACCGUGAGGCUUAACCUUACAAC